GAUUCAGAAGUCGAUAAGACCAGGAGAAGUGAAGAUGUAACAUGUUAUCUGUCGCUCCUCUUAGCUGGCGGAGAGAAUUUACAUUUAAAGAUUAGCAGAGUGAGAAAGAGAAAUCUGCCUUUUGUUGUGUGGGGUGAGGAGGAGGCAUCUACCCUGGCCUUGACGCUAUCUCCCAUCACCUCUGCUAUCCAGACAGGACUCACCGAGAAAAGAUUGAUCUCUGGGCUGGUGAACAUAAUCUCUGUCCCAGUCAGAAAAGGAGAGAGGAAAUUAGCAGAGCGAUUGGUGGAGAAUGAUAUCUGUCAAAAGAAACACUUGGAGAGCACUGAGUUUAGUAAUAGGUGACUGCCGGAAAAAAGGGAACUUUGAAUAUUGUCAAGGCGCACGCGCCCAGCACCCUGCCUCCGGCGAUGCCGCCCCAGCCCCUCUGAUGGCCCUCCUCUCUGCUGCCACUCAUUCCAGAACAGGAGGCAUGAGCCCGGAACGCGCUUGCUUUUAGGAGACAGCCACUUUCUGUGUGGUACGCUGGAUUCAAGGAUGCCUGAUAAACCCCACUUGAAAAACUGAGGUGCUUAAGGAGUAAAAUAAUAUGUUCCUGGUGGCAUCCUCCAGAUCGUACUGAGAAGCACU
rnacentral:sRNA from 1 species